UACAUGUGCUAUACGUGAUUUGCCUCAG
rnacentral:sRNA from 1 species